rnacentral:rRNA from 1 species
GACGAACGCUGGCGGCGCGCUUAACACAUGCAAGUCGAGCGAUGAAAUCUUAACAGAACCCUUCGGGGCGAAGAUAAGAGGGAUUAGCGGCGGACGGGUGAGUAACACGUGAGUAACCUGCCUUUUACACAGGGAUAGCCUCGGGAAACCGGGAUUAAAACCUGAUGAAACUAUCAAAUCACAUGAUUAAGAAAGUUAAAACUCCGGUGGUAAAAGAUGGACUCACGUCCCAUUAGCUAGUUGGUGAAGGUAACGGCCCACCAAGGCAACGAUGGGUAGCCGGCCUGAGAGGGUGAACGGCCACAUUGGAACUGAGAAACGGUCCAAACUCCUACGGGAGGCAGCAGUGGGGAAUAUUGCACAAUGGGGGAAACCCUGAUGCAGCGACGCCGCGUGAGCGAAGAAGGCCUUCGGGUCGUAAAGCUCUUUUAUAUGGGAAGAUAAUGACGGUACCAUAAGAAAAAGCCCCGGCUAACUACGUGCCAGCAGCCGCGGUAAUACGUAGGGGGCUAGCGUUGUCCGGAAUCACUGGGCGUAAAGGGUUCGCAGGCGGCAAUGCAAGUCAGAUGUAAAAGGCAAAGGCUCAACCUUUGUAAGCAUCUGAAACUGUAUAGCUUGAGAAGUGUAGAGGCAAGUGGAAUUUUUAGUGUAGCGGUGAAAUGCGUAGAUAUUAAAAAGAAUACCGGUGGCGAAGGCGACUUGCUGGGCACAAUCUGACGCUGAGGAACGAAAGCGUGGGGAGCAAACACG